AGAGUUUGAUCAUGGCUCAGCCUGAACGCUGGCGGCGUGGUUAAGACAUGCAAGUCGUACGGGCAUAGCAAUAUGUCAGUGGCGCACGGGUGAGUAAUGUAUAGCUAACGUACCCCGAUCUCUGGGAUAGCUGACCGAAAGGGCAGGUAAUACCAGAUGAUAUGCUUGUGUCGCAUGGCACGAGCCUCAAAGGGCAACUGGUUUGGGAUCGGGCUAUAUUGUAUCAGCUAGUUGGUGGGGUAAUGGCCCACCAAGGCAAUGACGCAUAACCGGACUGAGAGGUCGGCCGGUCACAUCGAAACUGAGACACUGUUCGGACUCCUACGGGGGGCUGCAGUAACGAAUCUUCCGCAAUGCACGAAAGUGUGACGGAGCGACGCCGCGUGUGGGACGAAGCCCUUCGGGGUGUAAACCACUGUCAAGAGAAAGAAAGUUCUGAUCUACUCUAAAGGAAGUGGCGACUAACUCUGUGCCAGCAGUCGCGGUAAUACAGAGGCCACAAGCGUUAGGCGGAAUCACUGGGCUUAAAGCGUGUGUAGGCGGGUUGGUAAGUACCUUGUGAAAUCCCACGGCUUAACCGUGGAAUUGCUUGGUAUACUGCCGAUCUUGAGUCAUUUAGGGGCAGCCGGAACAGAUGGUGGAGCGGUGAAAUGCGUAGAUAUCAUCUGGAACGCCAAUGGUGCAGACAGGCUGCUGGGAAUGAACUGACGCUGAGGCACGAAAGCCAGGGGAGCGAACGGGAUUAGAUACCCCGGUAGUCC
rnacentral:rRNA from 1 species